UGGGCUGUAGCUCAGUGGUAGAGUGCUUGCCUUGCAGGUGUGAGGCCCUGGGUUUGAUCCUCAGCACCACAU
rfam:Ictidomys tridecemlineatus contig095347, whole genome shotgun sequence.